GUAGUUACCGAACCUAAAUUUACUGCAAUAACACCCACAAGAAAACUCUGCAGUACUUACUCGUUAACCUAACACCAGCGCAUUACAGGAAAGAUUAAAAAAAAGAGAAGGAAUUCGGCAAAUGACGGCCCCGCCUGUUUACCAAAAACAUCGCCUCUUGACUUAUAAUAAGAGGUCCAGCCUGCCCAGUGAAUUUUAAACGGCCGCGGUAUCCUAACCGCGCGAAGGUAGCAUAAUCACUUGUUCUUUAAAUGGGGACUCGUAUCAACGGCAUCACGAGGGUUUUACUGUCUCCUCUUUUUGAUCAGUGAAAUUGAUCUUCCCGUGAAGAAGCGGGGAUAUUUUUAUAAGACGAGAAGACCCCAUGGAGCUUUAAACCAAAUAACAACUUAACUACUUAUCCCACAAUAAAUUUAAGCCCUGUUAUAAGGUUUUUGGUUGGGGUGACCGCGGAGUAAAGCACAUCCUCCACGACGGAAAGAACAUAAUCUUUAUUUAAGAACCACACUUCUAGAAAUUAGUAUACUAACGUUUACUGACCCGACAAUCGAUCAACGGACCAAGUUACCCUGGGGAUAACAGCGCAAUCUACUUCAAGAGCUCAUAUCGACAAGUAGGCUUACGACCUCGAUGUUGGAUCAGGGUAUCCCGGUGGUGCAGCCGCUACCGAAG
rnacentral:rRNA from 1 species